GCGGAAGUUUUCGGAUGGAAGCAAUAAACCUUAGCGGCGGACGGGUGAGUAACGCGUGGGUAACCUGCCUCAUACAGGGGGAUAACAGUUAGAAAUGACUGCUAAAACCGCAUAAGCGCACAUUGUCGAGUGACAGAGUGUGAAAAACUCCGGUGGUAUGAGAUGGACCCGCGUCUGAUUAGCUAGUUGGUGAGGUAACGGCCCACCAAGGCGACGAUCAGUAGCCGGCCUGAGAGGGCGACCGGCCACAUUGGGACUGAGACACGGCCCAAACUCCUACGGGAGGCAGCAGUGGGGAAUAUUGCACAAUGGGGGAAACCCUGAUGCAGCGACGCCGCGUGAGUGAAGAAGUAUUUCGGUAUGUAAAGCUCUAUCAGCAGGGAAGAAGAAAGACGGUACCUGACUAAGAAGCCCCGGCUAACUACGUGCCAGCAGCCGCGGUAAUACGUAGGGGGCAAGCGUUAUCCGGAUUUACUGGGUGUAAAGGGAGCGUAGACGGCUGUGCAAGUCUGAAGUGAAAGCCCAGGGCUCAACCCUGGGACUGCUUUGGAAACUGUGGAGCUAGAGUGCUGGAGAGGUAAGUGGAAUUCCUAGUGUAGCGGUGAAAUGCGUAGAUAUUAGGAGGAACACCAGUGGCGAAGGCGGCUUACUGGACAGUAACUGACGUUGAGGCUCGAAAGCGUGGGGAGCAAACAGGAUUAGAUACCCUGGUAGUCCACGCGGUAAACGAUGAAUACUAGGUGUUGGAGAGCAAAGCUUUUCGGUG
rnacentral:rRNA from 1 species